AACCAGGGACACCUCAGUCUCC
rnacentral:snRNA from 1 species